GUAGCGUAUUCAGAAUUGCAAAAAGCAAUACCAACCGAGUGUAGUCACCGCGGUGGUAAAAUAAUACGGGUUCAAAGCCAAAAUAAACGUCAUGA
rfam:Sphingobacterium nematocida strain DSM 24091 genome assembly, contig: LY61DRAFT_scaffold00003.3